UACGGGGGGAGCAAGCGUUGUUCGGAUACUGGCGUAAGGGCCAAGGCUAUGGAGCGGCCAACUAAGUCGGAUGUGAAAUCCCCAGGCUUAACCUGGGAACUGCAUCCGAUACUGGAUGGCUUGAAUUCGGGAGAGGGAUGCGGAAUUCCAGGUGUAGCGGUGAAAUGCGUAGAUAUCUGGAGGAACACCGGUGGCGAAGGCGGCACCCUGGACCGACACUGACACUGAGGAGCGAAAGCGUGGGGAGCAAACAGG
rnacentral:rRNA from 1 species